rnacentral:rRNA from 1 species
CCUACGGGAGGCAGCAGUGAGGAAUAUUGGUCAAUGGGCGGAAGCCUGAACCAGCCAAGCCGCGUGCAGGAAGACGGCCCCAGGCGUCGUAAACUUCUUUUGUCGGGGAACAAAGGGCGCCACGCGUGGCGUUGUGCGUGUACCCGAUGAAAAAGCAUCGGCUAACUCCGUGCCAGCAGCCGCGGUAAUACGGAGGAUGCGAGCGUUAUCCGGAUUUAUUGGGUUUAAAGGGUGCGUAGGCGGAUUGUUAAGUCAGUGGUCAAAUUGAGGGGCUCAACCCCUUCCCGCCAUUGAAACUGGCGUGCUUGAGUGCAAGAGAAGUAUGCGGAAUGCGUGGUGUAGCGGUGAAAUGCAUAGAUAGCACGAAGAACCCCGAUUGCGAAGGCAGCAUGCCGGCUUCCGACUGACGCUGAAGCACGAAAGCGUGGGGAUCGAACAGGAUUAGAUACCCUGGUAGUC